CGCGAGAGGAUGGAGAAGGGCUGCACCGUUGACAGACAGGCGAAGUGAACGAGAGGUGAUAAAUAAAGAGCUGGGAUUGCUCGUUAAACGGCCUGUCACUGUCUGGCUGAUUCUGACGGACAGCUAGCAUCAGACAGCGGCUACAUGAGCUAGCCGCUGGCCAUGUCAGCUAAUCAGCUUCUGUGUCGGUAACAGGACAGCGGAAUGCCAUUUGGGAACUACCUUAUUUUAACCCCAUUAUUUAUUGGUGCAUGAGUCCUUUGGGUCCUGCAAGGAGAACCCAUGGAACCCGACAUCAUACCCUUGCACUCCUCCUCCCUGCCUCUGAUGGAUGAUGAUGGUGAUGGGGAGGUGGCAUCAGAGGAGGAUGAGUUUAAGGACUUUUCUGUCGGGAUGCCCUGCUCCUCUCUUAAUUUUGCUGAUGCAACUGAGUCACCUUCUAGUUUCAGACCUCCUUCUCCAACCUCAGAACCAGCCACUCAUCAACCCAGUUGCAGCUCUAAGUGCGCAGGUGAACAAGCCCAGCCUACAUCCAAAGUGAAGCUGGAGUCUGGUAAGGCUCAGACGGAUGUAGGACAGCAGGAUUCUAAUGCUGAACCUUAUUUGCACCUCACAAAUGGAUUUGCUGAAAGUGAACAUAACUCUGGGGCCCAUACUUCUUCUGUAGCGGGUGGUCGGUCUCCUGUGGAGGAAAUGGGGUUUGCUGAUUUCACUGUGUUUACAAAGCAGAUGGGACACCCCUGGUGUUGUGGCUUCUCUCCAAUGGCUAACGCAGAGCAGAAGGAUGCGAGAGUAAGAGGGACAAACAGCAGCUUUAGUGAACAAAUGCAUGAAUCAGGAGAGGAUUGUAUUAUGGAAUCUGAGCCCAGAUCUCACUGUGCACACAAGGAAAAACAAAACCUCUGCGCUGAGAUCAGGGACAGUGAGAAAAGAGAUGCAGCACUUGUGCAACCAUCUCAGGUCCAUCAUCAGCCUCAGGAAGCUGCAGGAAAUUUGAAUUUUCCAUCGGAAGAGAAGGAGCUAGAUAAGCCUUGGGAUAGUCAGAGGGAAAGGAGGAAUAGCUUUAAUUCUCCUCAAACCUCUGAGGUACAGGACGAUGGAGAUGCAGAAGAAAUCUUUCAAACAUGUAGUAUGUAUGAGCCUAUGUCAGAGGACUUGGCAUCCUUCAGUGAUGAUUUGUCGUUUGAGGUUGCUUCUGCAGAUUUGGAACCAAAUGUUUCAUCCCUUGCUUCUCAAGAUGAUCAAACAGAUUGGGACCAGUUUGAUGAAGAGGAUGAAGACCUGGGAAACUGCAGACAUUCUGACUCUUUUGGAAACGGCAAUGUGACGAACCUCAACCAAACUGAGUCAGAGAGGGGCGUUCAUCACUGCGAAUAUCCGACUCAGGAAAAUUCUGCUACCUCCAAACAGUCACAAUCUGGAACAAAUUUGCAAGACAGAUUUGCUGACUUUACUGACAGCAGUUUUGAGCAUCACAGACCUCAAGAAGAUCUUCAAAAAGCUGAUGCAGGGGUGCAGAUCCUGGGAAAUCUCCCACUGAGUGACAGCUUUGCAGAUUUCUGCUCAGCGCCCACGCAGGAGGAUGAAGAGGUGUCGUGGGCAGAAUUCAAUGACCAGAGUGCAGAGGAUGGAAAAAGUUGGAGACAGUUCAGAGUGCCAGUCAGCAGCCAGCAGACUGAUGUAGAUGAUGAGGAAAAGAAUAAGCAGGACAGAGUGGAAGGAACAAGAAGGAACAGCUCUCAGGAUUCACUGCCCUGUCGUGUCCAGGAAAUCCUUCAGGCCAGUUUCCCGAAGGUAGUGGUUCCAGCUGUGGAAGAUGAGAAGGAGCUGAUUGGCCUCAGUGCUUUGCUUCAAGCUGAGCAUCUCUCUGAGGGUGGGGAGGAGGUACCAGUCACCAGCAGUGCUCAGUGGAUUCAGCAGGAGAUGUUGAGGCCACAUCAGGAUGUCCACAGUGCAGUUGGGCUCCAGUUUCAGUGGGGUGGCUCCCAUACUAACAGGACUCUGCUCAGUUGCCUUGGUGUGGACACAAGGAACGUUGUGUUCACUGGGAGGAAUAAGCAGUUUGUGACUGUGCCUGCUUUUGCAUCCAGUCUGGGAAUGCUUGAGCCCACCAAAGAUGUUGUGCCAGCUGCCUGCUCUUCAGAACGCACAGCUGUUACAGCACAAGCACCUCCAGGGCCCCGGGAUAUACCGGGCCCCUCAACACAUUCAGCGCAGGAGGAGCUCCCUUCCAGCCAGCUGGACUGGAGCGGUCGUGGCCUUAGCAGCUCUCAGGACGGUACGUCCCCUCGCCGAGCCCCACAUUUCUGGGGUCGGAAGUAGACUACCAGUCAUGGCUUCUAUUAUCAAACCAAACCUUUUGUUAAGAUUUAACUCUGGGCUUCUCACUAUCUUCACAGCAUGUGCUUUUUCUCCUUGAAUUUACUGUGUUUCCCCUUAAGGCACUUUGCAGUAAUACGGGAUCACAACAUGUCUCAAAAUAUAAUAUUUUCCUUUAAUAAUAAUUUCCUCUCAAGAAUAACAAUCAUCCAGUAUUUUGAAAUUAUGACCAAAAACAGGGGAAACACUGUGCUGACCUCCCUUUUUGCUCUUUUUCUUCACCUGUUGUAUUUACCUGUUGUCCUGUUGAGAAAACAUUUAUCUCAGUAUUUAUCAGUCUAAUUUAUUUAUGGACAAUUUCUAAUGAACUCACACCUGAUGUGUAAGAAGCCUAUUGAAGACAUGAUGUGCAUACUAACCUGUUUCUUUUCUGUUUUGUGGUUGACUCACUGAACAUGAAAAUAACAUGCACUCUAAAUAAUUAACAGAUUUGUUCUUCUAAAGGAUCUUUUUUUUUUUUUGUCUUUUAAUUUUUGGUUAUUGUGGAGGUCAAACUCCCAGGUCCUUAGUGCUAAUAUCGUCAACCUGUUGCCAGAAUUACUGUAAGUCAGCCAUUAGACAUUUUUAGUAAAGACAAAUUAAAAAAGAAUAAUCUAUACCAGUAUACUUUUUUUCUUUUGCUCAGGAAUGUUUUAUGAAGUCAGUGAGAAUCAUAACUUAUUGUACUGUUCAGUUUUAUGUUUUUGCAGUUUGCAGAUGAACAUUUGUAUUCAUCCUAAAUUCCAAAAAUCCUGAGUAAUAAAUUAAAAAUUGUUACAUAUUCUCUUUGACAAGAAAGUAUGAUUUUCCGAGACUCCACAGAAAAACGCAAAUUAGAUUAAAAUAUGGCCAAUCUCCCCUUCAGUGUAAUCUCGCCUGUGUACAUCUGGAUCACUUCAAGCAUGACUGCCUAAUUUCAUGAUGAACAUCAAACUUUUGGAAAGCAAAGGUCAAGGAGAUGAUCUUGAAGGGGACUUCAGCCAAGUGUUGGUGGGAACUUUUUGAUGAGACCGCAAACAAAAAACAAAAAAAGGGCAGGUAGGAAAAUCCCAUCUGGUUCUUUCAUAACUUAAUGUGAAAGGGAUUCAAACCAACACACUAAAAAAGAUAUAGCUGUGUCAGUGCUGGAAAACAGCUGUGAACAGUCAUACCGAAACUCAUUUUGCUGCUGCAUAUGUUUAAGAGGGUAAAGCUAAAAUAAAGUGUACUAAAGAAUUAUAACUAACAAAGAGUUUGUUUUCCAUGUCUGACAUGCAGCAUGGCUGAAAGCAUAGCUUACUAACUUAAAAAUCUGAAUUGUGACUACUAACUAAAAUAUAAAAUCCAUUUUUAAUUUGUAGCAUGAAACGUAGCAUCUUUUUUUGAUGGUGUUUAUUGAUAUACACAUGUAUAUAACUAAGGAUGGUUUUUAUUUAUUUGUAAUUUUUUUUAUUUUAUUUUAUUUUAUUUUUAGAUCAGCAACACAUAGAAGACAAAACUUAGGGCAGAACAAAGAAUAAAGUUGUAAUAAUGAAGCUUGCACAGCAGAGGGCAGUGUGCAGGGUGUAAGUGGUGCUGAUUGCAGAAAGAAAGUCAAAACACAUUACUAGUUUGCAGGAACAAAUCUAAGAGGAUGCAGGAUGCAAUCUUAUUAUUGUACAUCAUUUUAUGUAACUGUGUGUUCUGUAAUUUAUUAUUUCUUUCUUUCUGUUAGAUAUGAAGCCAAUUUUGGGGUUAAUUUAAUUUGUGGGAUUACUGUCCUAAUAGAAGGCAAGCUUUCAUAAUUACAACUGCAAAGGAGGAGUCACAGUUAAAGCUUGCAGGUGUGAUUUUUAUGUUGUCAGUUAAUACUUAAUCCUUUGUUUUUCUCUUAGUGUUUUUUGCACUUGAUUCUAGAUAUGAUCGUGCUGAGUGUGGCAGUGUUUGAUUCCAAUUCGCUUUAUUUUGAGAAAACAGGUUUUGAGUGCUUUUCAGUGUUUCAUUAUCAAUCAGACAUGUUUCUGCACUAUUUCUGUAAAACCCCACACUUUUCUUUUCUUUUUCUUUUUUUUUAAAUAAUGAGUUGUGCCUUUUUUGCUAAGCAUUUUCUAAUGAGUGCUUUUUUUUUUUCCUCCCAAAUGGUGAAAUAAUGUUUGGACCUACAGUGACAAAAACCUUUUUUUCCUCUUAAUUUAUUCAGAUUUACUGCUCAAAUUGAGAAUUAAUGCACUGCUAUCAGAGUAGAGGGAAAUAGUUGUAAAUACUGAAAUAAAUCGGUUGAUCCUUUCUG